GGGAAAUUUUGGCAACCUGUCAAAUAACUGAGAAAGAGCUGCCUACAGAGCUGGUGCCUCUCCCUUGGCAGAUCUGCAGCAGCCUUGCUCACAGCUGGGAGGUAAGUAGCAAAGUCACCAGAGGGAAAGUCUCCUCUGGGGAAGAAGAGCAUCUUUUCCACUAAGGAGCUUGCCCGCGUUCCUUUAUUGGAGUCUCCCUGGAAGAACUACCAUGCUAUUUUGGAGUGGCUGCUAGGACUGUACAUUCCUAGUGAUGCUAUCUGCAGGAGGACGGCACUGAAACAAGAAGCUGGUGGUGUCCAGAGACAAAUCUAAUUUAAGGGACUUAUGUUCUGGGGUAUGCCGAGAUACAAG
ensembl:lncRNA